GAUGAACGCUGGCGGCGUGCCUAAUACAUGCAAGUCGAGCGAACGGGCGAGGAUCUUGCGUCUCUGAUGUUAGCGGCGGACGGGUGUGUAACACGUGGAUAACCUACCUAUAAGACUGGGAUAACUUCGGGAAACCGGAGCUAAUACCGGAUAAUAUUUUGAACCACAUGGGUCAUAAGUGAAAGACGGUCUUGCUGGCACGUAUAGAUGGUUCCGCGCUGCAUUAGCUAGUAGUUAAGGUAACGGCUUACCAAGGCAACGAUGCGUAGACGACCGGAGAGGGGGAUAGGCCACACUGGAACUGAGCCACGGUCCAGACUCCUACGGGAGGCAGCAGUAGGGAACCUUCCGCAAUGGGCGAAAGCCUGACGGAGCAACGCCGAGUGAGUGAUGACGGUCUUCGGAUCGUAAAACUCUGUUAUGGGGGAAGAACAGAUGUGUACGUAGCUGUGGCCAUCUUGACGGUACCUAAUCAGAAAGCCACGGCUAACUACGUG
rnacentral:rRNA from 1 species